CAGCUUGAGACUGAGUCCAGGGCGGGGAUUUAUGCACCGAGAUCGGCGUGGGGCGUGGGGCACCCGGGAGGCUCCGGCCCCGGAGCGUGGGACUCGGUUUCCACUCAGGCCACGAUCUCACGGUUGCCGCUUCACAACAGCUGGCUGCAUGUCUGCACCUCCUCGUGCGUCAUGGAGAUGCUGGUGGCUUCUCACCGAAGGGGGGCUUGGAUGGGAUGCAGAACAGACAACUAAAGAAGCAAGACAAUGUGAAUAGUUUGAAAGCAGCUGGGAGACAGAGACCACGGAUGGAGGGGUCCUUCAGGGGACAAGGACGAUACCUCACAAGGAGAUGAGCAUGAUCCAGGCAGAGACGGGAGGGAAGGGCUUUGGGGCAAAGAACCCAGCAGGACUAUCUGUGCUCGGUGUAUUUCUGGAAGCAAGGAUGGAUUGAUUGCCCGAAGUAAGGACAAGCCAAUGCAGGACAGAGAAGCUACCUAACUAGGUGUUUUCUUUGAUAGAGGUUAACUCAAAAGAGACAUCAGCAUUUAUUGAGCAACUAUUAUAUGCCAGGUACUCUGCUAUACGUCAGGAAUACAAUGGUAUGAAGGCACACAUAAUCCCUGCCUUCACGCGAGGCCGUUCGUAGAAUAUUUAGUUAUAAGUGAUUCAGAAAUUACAAGGACACAAUAUGUCCUCAUGAAACGGCCACGGACUUCCUGACCCGACGUGUCAUCAUUUCCUCCAGAGGACACACAGAGGUUGUAGAUGGAACCACACAGUGGGGACCCGAGGGAAGAAGCCAAGAGACCCCGCCAGGUAACCUGGCUCAGUCAGCACGGGCUGCAUCUUUUUGGCGAGUUGACUUUCUCAACAUCCCGUUCCUGUUCUUGAAAAUGGGUCCAGCCAUAUCUGCUUUUCAGAACUAUUGUGAAAAUAAGCCAUUUGCGACGUGUA